GGAGGAGAAAAAGAUAAAAAAAAAGAAAAAGAAAAAAAAAAGAAUUACUUAUUAAUUAAAGCUCAAUGUCUUUGCUUCAAAUCUAUACUUUGGUUAUAUGGGUGUUUUCACUACGAGUAAUUAAACCUUUACCGACAAAUAUUACUCAUGGCACUUGUUACACAAAAGAAUAUAAACAGACGGUGUUCAAAGAAAACUGCAUUCCACUUGUUAUUACAAAUAAAAUGUGCUACGGCUCAUGUCUGUCUAUUUCAAUGCCUUCUUACAACAAAGGAAGGACGGGCGAAUGUUCAAGCUGCUCUCCAAACGAGUCUGAAAUAAAAGAAAUAAGAUUUAAGUGUCCUCGACAAAAUCGUAAACACAAGUUGAAAAAACAAAUUAUUGUGCAUUCGUGUAAGUGUCUGAAAUAUGAAGAAUGCGGAUAAUAUAGUUGUUACCCAUUGAAAAUUUUCCUAAACAAGUAAUAGAGAUUGUAUUAUACACAAAAUGUGCUUGUGGCCUGAUGCAAGCAUUUGUAUUCAAAUAUAUAAGUACUGGUAUGA